GGCGUAUGUAACGGGCCAGACCGAAGAAAAACCGCGAAACGAUAAUGUUAUCACAGCGACUUAAUUACGCAUAUAAUACGAGUGCACCACUGUAUAUUAUACGACCCCUCGACCCCGCAGCCUGGGCGUUAAGACGACGACGACGACCUCUGAAAAUAUGCGUUUUUUCGUUUUUUUUUUUUCUUAUUAAUUUUCCCGUUGCACAGUUUAAUAUCACGUUUGUGUACGUUAUGUGCGGCCGUAUAUUAUGCCGGCGUAUUCUUAUGUGUUAUUAUUUCCGUAAGCGUUUCAUUCGGAGUUUCGUUUUACUUUUAGAUUCUGCGGUAGAACGAGUAAUGCGUAUUGGUUUUACAAUGAUGUUUAUUUUUUUUCUUCUGUGGACAACUUUUCUACCAGCAAUUUCGGUACGAUUUUCAGUUUUUCCGAAAAGAAAUCCGACCGGAGUGAUACUUAAAGAAUAUAAUUUUUUU